rnacentral:rRNA from 1 species
CCCUUAGAUGCUCUGGGCCGCACGCGCGCUACACUGGUCGAUGCAACGAGUUUCUUUCCUUGGCCGACAGGCCUGGGCAAUCUUUGAACAUCGAUCGUGAUCGGGAUAGAUUCUUGUAAUUUUUGAUCUUAAACGAGGAAUUCCUAGUAAACGCAAGUCAUCAGCUUGCAUUGAUUACGUCCCUGCCCUUUGUACACACCGCCCGUCGCACCUACCGAUUGAAUGGUCCGGUGAAAUCUCCGGACUGGCGUAAGUCGGAGCAAUCUGACAAACACCGGAAAGUUGAUUAAACCUUACCAUUUAGAGGAAGGUGAAGUCGUAACA